rnacentral:rRNA from 1 species
AUACGUAGGGGGCGAGCGUUGUCCGGAAUGAUUGGGCGUAAAGGGCGCGUAGGCGGCCCGGUAAGUCUGGAGUGAAAGUCCUGCUUUUAAGGUGGGAAUUGCUUUGGAUACUGUCGGGCUUGAGUGCAGGAGAGGUAAGUGGAAUUCCCAGUGUAGCGGUGAAAUGCGUAGAGAUUGGGAGGAACACCAGUGGCGAAGGCGACUUACUGGACCGUAACUGACGCUGAGGCGCGAAAGUGUGGGGAGCAAACAGGAUUAGAUACCCUGGUAGUCCACACUGUAAACGAUGAAUGCUAGGUGUAGGGGGUAUCGACCCCUUCUGUGCCGCAGUUAACACAAUAAGCAUUCCGCCUGGGGAGUACGGCCGCAAGGUUGAAACUCAAAGGAAUUGACGGGG